rnacentral:rRNA from 1 species
UACAGAGGUCUCAAGCGUUGUUCGGAUUCAUUGGGCGUAAAGGGUGCGUAGGUGGUGAGGUAAGUCGGAUGUGAAAUCUCGGAGCUCAACUCCGAAAUGGCAUUGGAAACUACCUUGCUCGAGGGAUGGAGGGGGGACUGGAAUUCUCGGUGUAGCAGUGAAAUGCGUAGAUAUCGAGAGGAACACCAGUGGCGAAGGCGAGUCCCUGGACAUCUCCUGACACUGAGGCACGAAAGCUAGGGGAGCAAACAGG